ACUGAGUACGUGUAAGAUUGGUUACUUCUAUACCGAUUGUCUUGUGCCGAUGGUUGGAAACAAUCCGUAUGCAACUGCAGAAGAAAAUUCAACAGAACUCAGUACAAAUGCUGAAGUAUAUUCAUUGCCUUCAAAGAAGCUAGUGGCUCUUCCGUUAACAUCCAUUUUUAUUAAGGUUAGUAUGUUAUAUUUGUCUUUUUAAGUUUAUUAAACUAAAUAUAAUGAGAAAAUACUAAAUCUAUAAGAAUUAAGAUUCAAAAAUCAUUUCUGCUCUUUUACUGUAUGUACAGUUAAAGGUCUGAUUCUAUAGAAAAAUUAUCUCAAAAUUU